rnacentral:rRNA from 1 species
GUUCAUGGCCUUACUGCCCUGAAUGUGCCGGCUCUCGUCUGAUCUCAGAAGCUAAGCAAGGUCGGGCCUGGUUAGUACUUGGAUGGGAGACCGCUGGGGACUGUCAAGUGCUGUAGGCU